AGCAGAGGAGAGGCAUCAGUGCAGUUGGGGUUGUUGAUUGGUAUAUUGAAAUCCCCAAGUAUAAGGGAAGUAUUGCCAGAUGAGAGAAAGUGGGGAAGCCAGGAAGAAAAGUGCUCAAUAAAUAGCCUAGGAUGACCGGGGGGUGGUAGAUGAUAGCAAUUCUUAAAGGAGUGUGUUUCAAUAGACGGACAAUGUGAACUUCAAAAGAAGAAAAGGAUAGGGCAGGGGGAGUUAUGAUUUGUUGAAGGGUACAUUGAGG